GCUCCCAUCGCGUAGUGGUUACUGCACUCGCCUUGCACGCGGGAGACCCGGGUUCGAUUCCCGGCGGGGUCA
rfam:Asian citrus Psyllid, Diaphorina citri - Florida Strain, whole genome shotgun sequence.